ACCGCUGGGACCGCCAGUUCUGCCAUGCCGUCAACACGCAGGGGCAGGGCAGGGACCCUGCCUGUGUUGUAAGUAGCCCGACAUGACUUAGCAGACUGGUAGAAACACACAAGAAGGCUGAGUCCAGCCUGGAUGUUGGAGUACCUUUGGUGCUGCCGCUUUUGUGUUUCCACGUAGGAGUCCCAGCGCGCCGGAAGGCCAGCCAGAAGCGACAUGACACGGGGAGGAGUUUGUGAGGCUGAAUACGCGCAGAGGCAGAGGGGAACUCUGCCUGGCCUAUAUGUUUGCCUGCAGGUCCCGGUGCGUGUGACCCGAGGACUUCCCUGGUCAUGGAGGAAGGACAUCGUGGGUCAAGUCUGGCGGGUGGAGGACAUCCCCUGGAUUCUGGAUCUGCGGCCUCCCAAAGCUGUUUUUGUCGUCUGUCCCCCGGACUUUUAAUAUAGCUUUUUACUAGUUUUUACCCUGUUUCUUCAUCUUAUUGUAUUUUAUACUUUUUAGAGCUGUUUUAUGUAUUUUAAAGUUUUUUACCAUCUUAUUGGCCAGUCAGGUUUUUAGGAUUAAUAAAUUAUUGUUGUGGCCAAAAAUA